UAGUGAGUUUGAUCCUGGCUCAGAACGAACGCUGGCGGCAGGCCUAACACAUGCAAGUCGAGCGCCCCCGCAAGGGGGAGCGGCGGACGGGUGAGUAACGCGUGGGAACGUACCCUUUGCUACGGAAUAGCCUCGGGAAACUGGGAGUAAUACCGGAUGAGCCCGUUCGGGGGGAAAGAUUUAUCGGCAAAGGAUCGGCCCGCGUUGGAUUAGGUAGUUGGAGAGGUAAAGGCUCACCAAGGCAUCGAUCAGUAGCUGGUCUGAGAGG
rnacentral:rRNA from 1 species